rnacentral:rRNA from 1 species
AGAGUUUGAUCCUGGCUCAGGACGAACGCUGGCGGCGUGCUUAACACAUGCAAGUCGAGCGGUAAGGCCCUUUCGGGGGUACACGAGCGGCGAACGGGUGAGUAACACGUGAGUAAUCUGCCCUUCACUUCGGGAUAACCUCCGGAAACGGUGGCUAAUACCGGAUAUGACCUGUCCCUGCAUGGGGGUGGGUGGAAAGUUCUGGCGGUGGAGGAUGUGCUCGCGGCCUAUCAGCUUGAUGGUGGGGUAAUGGCCUACCAUGGCUUCGACGGGUAGCCGGCCUGAGAGGGUGACCGGCCACACUGGGACUGAGACACGGCCCAGACUCCUACGGGAGGCAGCAGUGGGGAAUAUUGGACAAUGGGCGAAAGCCUGAUCCAGCAACGCCGCGUGAGGGAUGACGGCCUUCGGGUUGUAAACCUCUUUCAGUAUCGACGAAGCUGUGCCUUUUUGGGUGUGGUGACGGUAGGUACAGAAGAAGCACCGGCCAACUACGUGCCAGCAGCCGCGGUAAUACGUAGGGUGCGAGCGUUGUCCGGAAUUAUUGGGCGUAAAGGGCUCGUAGGCGGUUUGUCGCGUCGGGAGUGAAAACACUGGGCUUAACUCAGUGCUUGCUUCCGAUACGGGCAGACUAGAGGUAUGCAGGGGAGAACGGAAUUCCUGGUGUAGCGGUGAAAUGCGCAGAUAUCAGGAGGAACACCGGUGGCGAAGGCGGUUCUCUGGGCAUUACCUGACGCUGAGGAGCGAAAGUGUGGGGAGCGAACAGGAUUAGAUACCCUAGUAGUCC